GGUCUUACUGUUUUCCAUCAAGGUGUCACCAAUCUUCCAGCCUCCCAGGCAGAAGUCUUUGAGAGCUUCAAUCAGCACUACUACUUGAGGACCUAUGCAGUGUUUGUCCGUGAGCAUGGAAUGACUCAUACUGGCAUCAGAGUUAGGGACUCACUUUAAAGGAAAGGGGAUGCAGUAGUGGGCACAUGACUAAGAAAUCCACCGAUCCUCUCAUAUACUGCACCACCAGAAGCUGCUGGAUUAGCAGAGCAAAGGCAAAGAUUGACCAGACCAAGCCCUGAGACACAGUGUUGAGAGCCAAGACAUAAAGUUGUGAAGAUUCAGACCCAGAGCCCAGCAGGGUACAGGCUGGAGGGGUGAUGUGAGUGAUCAGUAACACCAUGAAGACUCUGCUCCUGGGUCAGGAAUGCUUUUUUGUCCCUGUUUUGGAUUUUCCACCAUGAACAGCCAAUGCAGGAAGAAAUCU
rnacentral:lncRNA from 1 species